UACGUAGGGGGCUAGCGUUGUCCGGAAUCAUUGGGCGUAAAGAGCGUGUAGGCGGCCAUACAGGUCCGUUGUGAAAACUGGAGGCUUAACCUCCAGACGUCGAUGGAAACCGUAUGGCUAGAGUCCGGAAGAGGAGAGUGGAAUUCCUGGUGUAGCGGUGAAAUGCGCAGAUAUCAGGAAGAACACCCGUGGCGAAGGCGGCUCUCUGGGACGGUACUGACGCUGAGACGCGAAAGCGUGGGGAGCGAACAGG
rnacentral:rRNA from 1 species